UUGAAGAUGAUUCUUCGGAUGAAACUUCUUGUGACUUAGUGGCGGACGGGUGAGUAACGCGUGGGUAACCUGCCUCACACAGGGGGAUAACAGUUAGAAAUGACUGCUAAUACCGCAUAACCCGAUAGGAUCGCAUGAUCCAGACGGAAAAGAUUUAUCGGUGUGAGAUGGACCCGCGUCUGAUUAGCUAGUUGGUGAGGUAACGGCCCACCAAGGCGACGAUCAGUAGCCGGCCUGAGAGGGUGAACGGCCACAUUGGGACUGAGACACGGCCCAAACUCCUACGGGAGGCAGCAGUGGGGAAUAUUGCACAAUGGGGGAAACCCUGAUGCAGCGACGCCGCGUGAGUGAAGAAGUAUUUCGGUAUGUAAAGCUCUAUCAGCGGGGAAGAAAAUGACGGUACCUGACUAAGAAGCCCCGGCUAACUACGUGCCAGCAGCCGCGGUAAUACGUAGGGGGCAAGCGUUAUCCGGAUUUACUGGGUGUAAAGGGAGCGUAGACGGUCAAGCAAGUCAGAAGUGAAAGGCUGGGGCUCAACCCCGGGACUGCUUUUGAAACUGUUUGACUGGAGUGCUGGAGAGGUAAGCGGAAUUCCUAGUGUAGCGGUGAAAUGCGUAGAUAUUAGGAGGAACACCAGUGGCGAAGGCGGCUUACUGGACAGUAACUGACGUUGAGGCUCGAAAGCGUGGGGAGCAAACAGGAUUAGAUACCCUGGUAGUC
rnacentral:rRNA from 1 species